rnacentral:misc_RNA from 1 species
GAAAUGCGAUAAGUAAUGUGAAUUGCAGAAUUCAGUGAAUCAUCGAAUCUUUGAACGCACAUUGCGCCCGCCAGUAUUCUGGCGGGCAUGCCUGUCCGAGCGUCAUUUCAACCAUCAAGCCCCCGGGCUUGUGUUGGGGACCUGCGGCUGCCCGCAGGCCCUGAAAACCAGUGGCGGGCUCGCUGUCACACCGAGCGUAGUAGCAAUCACCUCGCUCAGGGCGUGCUGCGGGUUCCGGCCGUUAAACAGCCUUACAAAACCCAAGGUUGACCUCGGAUCAGGCAGGAAGACCCGCUGAACUUAAGC